rnacentral:rRNA from 1 species
UACGGAGGAUGCAAGCGUUAUCCGGAUUCAUUGGGUUUAAAGGGUGCGUAGGCGGGCUAUUAAGUCAGUGGUGAAAUCCUGCAGCUUAACUGCAGAACUGCCGUUGAUACUGAUAGUCUUGAGUUUGGUUAAGGUAGGCGGAAUGUGUAAUGUAGCGGUGAAAUGCUUAGAUAUUACACAGAACACCAAUUGCGUAGGCAGCUUACUGAGCCGACACUGACGCUGAGGCACGAAAGCGUGGGGAUCAAACAGGAUUAGAUACCCUGGUAGUCCACGCCGUAAACGAUGAUUACUCGCUGUUGGCGAUACACUGUCAGCGGCUAAGCAAAAGCAAUAAGUAAUCCACCUGGGGAGUACGGCCGCAAGGUUGAA